GGAAAGGCACAAUGGUCACGGUUACAUCAGCCACUUCAACUGCACCCACUGUGUUUCCUCUGGUACCAUGUGGCACUGAGAGUGGAGAUAUGGUCACUCUUGGCUGCCUUGCCACCGGCUUUAACCCUCCUGCGGUGACUUUCUCGUGGAACAAAGGCGGCACUGCCUUGACAGACUUCAUCCAGUACCCUUCAGUACAGAAAGGCAAUGUUUAUACUGGAGUCAGUCAAGUCCGAGUGAGGAAACAGGACUGGGAUACACAACAGAAUUUCCAAUGUGUUGUGAAUCACGCUGCUGGGAAUGCACAGACUGGUUGCGAACCACCACUGGUGUUUAAGAGGAAUCCAACUCCUAAAGUGAUUUCCUCUCCUGAUGAGGACGGUACCUAUACUGCCUCCUGCUUUGCCAAAGAGUUUGCACCAAAGAAACAUGACAUCAAAUGGCUGAAAAAUGGAGCAGACGUCACCAGCAAAAUAGAUCUGAUCAGUACAGUUUCUGAAUAAAGAAAGGCAGAUGGAAAGAAAGUGUACAACGCAGCAAGUUUUCUCACAUUAAAUCCCAGUGAUGUGAAUGAAGAAACUGAAUUCACUUGUGUGUUUACGGGAGGCCAAAGUGGAUCUUUGAAUAAAAGCGAUAUA